rnacentral:rRNA from 1 species
UGCAGUCGAACGGUGAUCCGGUGCUUGCACCGGUGAUCAGUGGCGAACGGGUGAGUAACACGUGAGUAACCUGCCCCCGACUCUGGGAUAACCCCGGGAAAUCGGAGCUAAUACCGGAUACGAGACGCACAGGCAUCUGUUGCGUCUGGAAAGAAUUUCGGUCGGGGAUGGACUCGCGGCCUAUCAGCUUGUUGGUGGGGUAACGGCCCACCAAGGCGACGACGGGUAGCCGGCCUGAGAGGGCGACCGGCCACACUGGGACUGAGACACGGCCCAGACUCCUACGGGAGGCAGCAGUGGGGAAUAUUGCACAAUGGGCGAAAGCCUGAUGCAGCGACGCCGCGUGGGGGAUGAAGGCCUUCGGGUUGUAAACCCCUUUCAGCAGGGAAGAAGCGAAAGUGACGGUACCUGCAGAAGAAGCGCCGGCUAACUACGUGCCAGCAGCCGCGGUAAUACGUAGGGCGCAAGCGUUGUCCGGAUUUAUUGGGCGUAAAGAGCUCGUAGGCGGUUUGUCGCGUCUGCUGUGAAAACCCGAGGCUCAACCUCGGGCCUGCAGUGGGUACGGGCAGACUAGAGUGCGGUAGGGGAGACUGGAAUUCCUGGUGUAGCGGUGGAAUGCGCAGAUAUCAGGAGGAACACCGAUGGCGAAGGCAGGUCUCUGGGCCGCAACUGACGCUGAGGAGCGAAAGCAUGGGGAGCGAACAGGAUUAGAUACCCUGGUAGUCCAUGCCGUAAACGUUGGGCACUAGGUGUGGGGCUCAUUCCACGAGUUCCGUGCCGCAGCAAACGCAUUAAGUGCCCCGCCUGGGGAGUACGGCCGCAAGGCUAAAACUCAAAGGAAUUGACGGGGGCCCGCACAAGCGGCGGAGCAUGCGGAUUAAUUCGAUGCAACGCGAAGAACCUUACCAAGGCUUGACAUAUACCGAAAACUCAUGGAGACAUGGGGUCCGCAAGGGCGGUAUACAGGUGGUGCAUGGUUGUCGUCAGCUCGUGUCGUGAGAUGUUGGGGUUAAGUCCCGCAACGAGCGCAACCCUCGUCCUAUGUUGCCAGCACAUCAUGGUGGGGACUCAUAGG